AGUACUUUCCUAGAAAUAAUACUAUUAAAAUGGUUGGACUGACUUACAGACAGGUGCAAAAAUAAAUCCUCUUUUGCAACCCAGAACUCUUUGUUCAGUAUGAGUUUUGAUACAGAUAAGAAGGAACAUG